rnacentral:rRNA from 1 species
AUUGAACGCUGGCGGCAGGCCUAACACAUGCAAGUCGAACGAGUGGCGGACGGGUGAGUAAUGGCGGAGAAACUGCCUGACGGAGGGGGAUAACUACUGGAACAGGUAGCUACUACCGCUUAACCUCAGAUGUGACCAGACGGGAGUGGCUUGUUGGUGGGGUAACGGCUCACCAAGGCGACGAUCCCUAGCUGGUCUGAGAGGAUGACCAUCCACACUGGAACUGAGACCCGGUCCAGACUCCUACGGGAGGCAGCAGUGGGGAAUAUUGCACAAUGGGCGCAAUCCUGAUGCAGCCAUGCCGCGUGUAUGAAGAAGGCCUGCGGGUUGGAAAGUACUUUCAGCGGGGAGGCGUUACCCGCAGAAGAAGCACCGGCUAACUCCGUGCCAGCAGCCGCGGUAAUAC